CUCUUUGAGAACAGGAUAUCCUAGAACACUUUAGUCCAGCAUGGCAUGUAGCCCCUGGUUAUAAAACCCAGAGUGGACUGCUUUCUGAGACCCCCUCAGCUACAGAACAAGUUGAGCAUGCUCAGCUCCGUCCUCCAUGUGCGUGCGGCUUUCCUAAGCCGGAGUUCCAGCUUGCCAUGAAUCCUAGGCUUCUCAAGUCCCUUGCUGCCUGUCUGGGAGUAACACAUCUGCUUCAUGGAACUUGCCAGGUGCUAGUGCUCUGUCUCACUGGACUUAGGCUUAUUGGUGAAGCCUCCUUGGACAAUCAAGAAGGCAUUUGCAUGCCCAGACCUCAUUUACCACCAUCAUUCACGUUUAUCUGAGCAGCAUCCAGCCUAUGUAAGGGGGAAGUGAGAAACAGAAGAAAAGAGAACACAUUUAAGAAGAUUGCAAAGGACUUCAAUUUAAAGGAUAGACACCGUAUGCUAUGGAUCGUAUUGUGGCAUCCCACCCAAAAUGGGCUGGUUUCUUCUUUAUCUACCUGGCACGUAUCAUGAAAGUAAAUAAUAGUUAUAGAAGGGACUCGUUCAUCACACAGUCAUCACUGUCACUACUCAACUGCUACGACAGUGGUACCACUUCUACGCAUGCUAUGGAGGAACCAGCAAAACAGCUCUUUAAAGACAUUAGGGAUUAAACAAAUAACGGUGAAGCACAUUUGGUAAACAUUUGUUUUUCUUGCUGUAAACAUAGUAUGUCCUCUCGUUGACUUCAAGUUCUGCCCUGAAAUUAAUUUCAUUUAUAACAUAUUUUAAAAAUAAUAAAAACCUUG
rnacentral:lncRNA from 1 species